UCCUUCAGGCCUUCAGUGCCAGAUUGGGACUGCUGAAACAUCCAGCCUUGUAAGAACUACAGGAUUCUCAGCCUCUCCAGUGUGGCGCAACCACUGUUGAACUACUCGGACUCUAUCCUAUUUUGAAUAUUGAAGUCUUCAGUGAGGUUGGAGUGCUGAACAAAAGGGACACGUGGGAAGCCAUUACACCACAGGACCACAACUACCAAGGUAGAUUAUCUGCCCCCAGGGGAGCCAAACUUCAAGAGUGAUCAAUUCGUUCUAGGUUCCAAAUGCUAAUAUGAGCACAUACCAUGGAGCCCUAUCCAGCAUAACUACGAUCCACUGCAAAGUGACCAUAGAAGUCCUGGCUGAUACUUAACUAAAGACUUGGGCAAAAGUCACCUACACUCAGCCCUUCAAUUUCAAACCUAGAAGGUUGAAAUAAUCAUCUCUAUUACUAGAAUUACAUGGUACUGAAACAAAAGAAAUAACUUGACAAAGGAUAAAAUCAUAUAUCCUAUGAUCAUAAUUCCCAAAUUCUUGCACUUUAAAACUAUUUUUUCAAUGGCAAAGCAGCUUUUGAUGAUUUUAGAGCUGUUACAACUGAAUUUUAAUUUAAAGUGCAUGCAUCACCAUGCUGGAGCCACAAAGGCUCAGUGAGCUUCUCUGAGUUUUGUUUUUGCACAGGUUGUGGCAUUUUCCCAGGGCACGCAACUCUUUAUAAGGUAACGAAAAAUUAAGAUUUAAAAAAAAAAAAAA